rnacentral:lncRNA from 1 species
UUGAUAGUGGAUAUAAGUUUGUCCCAUGAAAUAGUCCCCAUUUGGUAGUUUCUAAAUAUGUAGAGCAUGUUAAGACAAAACUCAACCUUCAAAAAGGAGAAAUAGAAGCAUGAAAAAAUUGAAAUCGACAUCAUAAAAUUACCCUACAAAAUUAAUGGUAUCCCAUUUCUUGGCUGUAAAAGAUUAAUAAAAAAUAUAUAAGAUUAAUAAAAAGAACAUUGGGGGGUCAAA